UCUGAUUAUUUUCAUACCUGACUUCAGCUUCUCACAGCAUAACUGCUGCCCUAUUCCCCUCUUCUCCGGAGAGCCACAACAGACAGACAAAGGGAAGUUUUUUUUCCAAUUUUAAAAAGUUGUAGCCCUCCCAUUGUCUCUUUUGGUCAGGUGCCGACUCACUUCCCUUUACCUAUGCAUGCAGUCAGACUUUUUAACCCUUUACAGGUAAAGCAAGUAGAGAACAGCUACCACGAGGGAUUCUAUAGCUAACUGGCUGGCUGGGUGUCCACAAAAGGGAGCUCCCCCUUUCCCUGCCUAUUUAUCACAGCUGCACUAGCAGAGAGGGCAGCUUGUCCAUUCAGCAGACCUCAAUGUUUUUUAUAAAGAAAGACCAGAGGCUUGAUUUGGUGCAGGUACUAGUGUGCUAAGUGAAUGGGCACAGGUACACUAACGCAUGUUUUCCUCCCCUCUAUUCCCCCCAACAAUGGUACCAGCUCAGUCAGCACAUCAGGAUGCUGUCCCCUGAGCUAGCACAAAGAUGCCCCUCUUGUGCCUUCUCCUUUUAUACAUUGACACAAACAAGGUCACAUCUCCUUCCAUGUGUUGCUAUCAUCCUUACCCUUGUACCUGUUAGUUUGAACAAAACAUCCUUAUCCAUUAUCCUGUCAUCCACCCCUUAUUUGUAGAAGGGCUCAGUGUGGUCCUACCAUCUCUUAGGAAUGUGUUUAUGUAGUUACUUGAGAGAUCUGUGUGUUUUUGUAUCAUCCUUACCAGUCAGGAAUGUUAGCUGACAGCUAGUGUGUUACCAUUCUGGCAAGGCCUACAUUCCCCUCCUUUUUGUCUUUUCCAUCAUCCUGGAAAAGCAUAAUGUAUGAACUGAAAAUACCUAGUGGGCUAAACACUGUUUCUUGGCCAUUUUGCUUUACCCCUACAUACAUUCAUGCCCCCUGUGUCCAGUGGUCACCACAUUCCCUCAUAGACGUGUGGACAGUUUUUUCCCCCCCUCCAAUUGUUUUCAGUUAUCAAAUAUUGCUUUGUCAGGAUUCCAUGUUGGUUAGCAGACACUGAAGAAGAUGGUUUUGAAUAUUAUGUGCCUCAGUUAGGAUGCCGUGUCACUGACCGCACGUCACAAAAUACACCCCAUCCAAUGUCCUCAUCAUGCAUUGAUAUAUGGCCCUCUUGACUAGGGUGAGAAAGAGACCAACAAGGAGGUCCCAAGACUUGUGGGACCAUAUAUGGGCAGUGAGUAAAUAAAAAUGUGAAGGAAAAAAUGCAGAAGAAUCUUAUCAAGGGGUUCUGAAAGAGACAGAAAAGGAGCUGUACCUGGCACACUCCAAAUAUGCAUGGGCCAGGGUCUCCCUCUCCCAUAGAAUGAACAAGUACCAGGGACGUCUGAAAAUUGUGUCAGGAACAUGCCUGUGCUCCAUGAAAGAGCCCAACCAACUAUUAUUCCUGGUGGGCCAUGGAAUCAAGGUGGAAUAGAGGCUGGCCCACCAGGGCUCCUCAACCUCAAGAGGUGGCAAAAUGUCCAGCCAUUUUGUAUCUGGGCAGAAAUACAAGGAAAUGAGUAGGGGUGAGUGUGUAUAGUUUCUCUUGCGAUGUGGCUGAGAGGCUCACUGACUGGAUCAAUAUGAGUCAGCUGAAAUGGGAGAUUCAAAGUGAUGGGUGGGAGCUAAUGCGGCAGGGGCCUGACAUCAUGCUCCAGAGAGCCAGGGGAUAUGGGCAGGUGGGGAACACCUUGCCCGAGAACAGCCACAGAGGCGGGCACAGAGCAGCUUUUAGCUCCCAGAGUACAUAGUGCGUGACGUGGGGUCGGCUGUGCUAUAUACUGGGCAAGCAUACUGGGGUCCACUCAAUUCUGCGAGCCAUAGUUGAGAAGGUCAGUGAAGACCAGCCUCUUGUGCACCAAAGGGGCUUCCCACCUCCCCCGUGCCACAAGAUGUGGAUUGUGCAACAGGAGUUCAGGAUGGAGGUCUCUACCCUUGGCAGAUGUGACAGGUCUGGUUGCAGAGACCAACUUGCAGGGCCUGAGGAGAUCACUGUCAGUUCACAGAGAUUUUGGAGGAGACAUCUCAGAUGGAGGAAGCAGGCUGCUGUUCAUAUCAUAUCGGAGGCAGCGGAUGAAGGCAUAAGACCACAAGACUAUAAAAAUCGCCCUGGGGCACACCACUAUUUGCCUCUCUCCAUUCUAAAACUGACCAUUUAUUCCUACCCUUGUUUCCCCUCCAUGAGAUGACCGUCUGUGAUGCACAGACAGUCUGUGAAUCGAAACUCCAUGCUUUUGCUUUGCUAGAAUGUAAAUUUUUGCCCCACACUGUUUUUUGCCAAAGAAUGGCUACUUAGCAGGUAAUGGUCCAUCUGCCUUGUUUUCACCUGACUGAGGCAUCAGCUUGCUCUUUGUCUCUGAGGAACUGGUUUAGCCACUUCCCAGACUUAGGGUAUGUCUACACUUGGAGAGUGUUUCACUGUAAGUUUCACUGGUGAUAGGGAACCAGUGAAAGUAAAGCACUGGUUUCUGUACUCACUUAAUUCCUCAGGCAUCAGAGGCCUUCGCACACUUGCGAGUUACAGCGCUGUAAAGCCGCCCCCAGCGCUGUAACUCACUCCCCGUCCACACUGGCAAGGCAUUUGCAGCGUUGUAUCUCCGUGGUUGCAGCGCUGCAUGUACUCCACCUCCCCGAGAGGAAUAGCAAGUAUUGCGCUGCCGCUGCAGCGCUGUGGCGCCAGUGUGGCCGCCCAAUGCACUGUGAAUGGCCUCCAGAAUUAUUCGGCAGUAUCCCACAAUGCCUGUUCUAGCCACUCUGGUCAUCAGUUCAAACUCUACUGCCCUGGCCUCAGGUAACCAACCAUGUGACCCACCCUUUACAUUCCCCGGGAAUUUAAAAAAUCCCCUUCCUCUUUGCUCAGCCCGGCAUGGCGUGGAGUGCUAUAAGCGAAUCUUUCCAGGUGACCAUGCCUCCACCUGCCAAGCGAGCCCCAGCAUGAAGCAAUGGCGAGUUGCUGGACCUCAUCAGUGUUUGUGGGGAGGAAGCUGUCCAGUCCCAGCUGCGCUCUAGCCGAAGGAAUUAUGAUACCUUUGGGAAGGUAUCAAAGGACAUGAUGGAAAGGGGCCAUGACCAGGACGCCCUGCAGUGCAGGAUUAAAAUGAAGGAGCUGCGGAGUGCCUACCACAAAGCCCACGACGCAAACGGCUGCUUGGGUGCUCCCCCUGCGACCUGCCGAUUCUACAAAGAGCCGGAUGCGAUACUUGGGGUUAACCCCACCUCCACUCCGAGCACCACCAUGGACACUUCAGAGCCAGUGUGAGGAGGGAGGAAGAAGAGGAGGAGGAGAAGGAGGAGGAAAACGAGAGUGAUGGUGGUGGGCCGGAUGGAGACACCCCGGAAUCCCUGGAACCAUGCAGCUAGGAGCUCUUCUCGAGCCAGGAGGAAGGUAGCCAGUCACAGCGGCCGGUACUUGGUGGAGGACAAACAGAAGAGCAGGUUCCUGCAGCAUCAACCUUGAGACCUCAGCCAUCCCUCUUAUCGCCUACUCAGAGACUGCAAAGACUCAGGAAGAGACUGCGAAAAAGCGAAGAAGACAUGCUGCAAGAAGUGAUGUGGCAAUCUAUUAAAGAGAAUGAGAAAGCACAGAACUGGAGGGAGAGAGAAAGCAGGAUCCGCCAGGAAAACGCAGCGCACCUGUGGCAAAACACAGAACACCGGCAGCAAAGCACGGAUCAGCUCAUAAGCAUCCUGGAGCGCCAAGCAGACGCUAUCCAGGAGCUUGUAGCCAUGCAGAAAGAGGAGCAGUACCGCAAACGCAAACACCGCCCCCCCCCUACAGCCCUUGUCCCAAAACUCUUUCUGUUGUGCCCCACUGUCACCUCCAACCCACUUUCCCCAACUUCCGUGUCCUUCAUGCCACCCGCUGCCUCCAACACCAGUAUCUUCACCACCCAGCCCUGAAAACCACGACCCUUGCCCUCUGCACUCAACCCCCAUCACCAUGCAGUAGAGCUAUCCUGAAGUGCAGCACUCACUGCACAGCACACCAGACAGGACAUACGCGAAUCUGUGAUUGUAUCGUUCCCCACUCCACCCCCUUUUUUCUUUUCAAUAAAUAAUUUUUUUUUCUUUUCAAUAAAUGGA